rnacentral:rRNA from 1 species
CACGUAGGUCCCGAGCGUUGUCCGGAUUUAUUGGGCGUAAAGCGAGCGCAGGUGGUUCAUUAAGUCUGGUGUAAAAGGCAGUGGCUCAACCAUUGUAUGCAUUGGAAACUGGUAGACUUGAGUGCAGGAGAGGAGAGUGGAAUUCCAUGUGUAGCGGUGAAAUGCGUAGAUAUAUGGAGGAACACCGGUGGCGAAAGCGGCUCUCUGGCCUGUAACUGACACUGAGGCUCGAAAGCGUGGGGAGCAAACAGG